UAGAGCUGGGAGAGAAGACUGAGCAGAGAGGUUUGAUUGAGACUGACAUGUCAGGAGGUAAAACAGCACUCAGACUCUGCUGCACCUGUUAUCUGUGGGACUCUGGACUCAGAUCACUGGAGCUGUAGACGGUGACCAUGUGUUGGCCAUCAUCAUGUGCCAAGGAUACUAUGAUCGAUCGAGGCAAAAGGAGGUGAUAAAGAAGCAGAAGGGAAGAGGAAAAUAGGACAGGGAGAGGUGAAGAAGGAGAGUGGAGAUUGCAACUCUGUGCUUAGGUGUGUGACUGACAGAAUCCUGGCAGCAGUGUUCUAUGUGAGCUGCAACUGUCUUAUGGUCUUUUGAGGUUGGCCGGUAAGGAAUCCAUUACAAUAAUCCACCCUUCUGGUGAUAAAGACAGAUGUCUCUCGCUUUGUGUCGGGACACUUCAUGCGAUGGCGCCCCUCUCCAGAUGUCUGCAGAGUGCUUGAAAGAGUUUGGCCGGCAGUUCCUUCAGCCUCCUUCUGAUUCAAUCAAAACACAACAGGUUUGAGACUUACCUGCUCUUUCUCUCUCUGUCUCAUGACAUGGGAAUGUUCUAGUUCUUUUAAAGGAAUAGUUCUCCCAAAAAUGUUACAUUUUAACUAUCAUUCCAAACCAAUUAUGUCAGUUUUACUAUAAAAUGUAUUAUGAUAUGUUGUUUGAAUGUUUAAAUUCAUUUUAGGGUGAACAAUUGCUUGGAGUAUUUGUAAU